UGCGCCCGUUCACGGCCGCGGCGCAGCGGGCCAUGGACCCGCUCGGCUGCGAGGUCGUGGUCCGGGCGUUCGACCCGCCGGGCAUGCCC
rnacentral:tRNA from 1 species